rnacentral:rRNA from 1 species
UCAGGAUGAACGCUGGCGGCGUGCCUAACACAUGCAAGUCGAACGAAGCAUACGGACCGGAGAUUCGUCGAAGGACCGAUGACUUAGUGGCGGACGGGUGAGUAAUGUAUGAGCAACCUGCCUUUCAGAGGGGGACAACAGCUGGAAACGACUGCUAAUACCGCGUAACGUAUCGUGAGGGCAUCCUCGUGAUACCAAAAGGAGCAAUCCGCUGAAAGAUGGGCUCAUAUCUGAUUAGCUUGUUGGCGGGGUAACGGCCCACCAAGGCGACGAUCAGUAGCCGGACUGAGAGGUUGAACGGCCACAUUGGGACUGAGAUACGGCCCAGACUCCUACGGGAGGCAGCAGUGGGGAAUAUUGGGCAAUGGGCGAAAAACGCCUGACCCAGCAACGCCGCGUGAAGGAAGAAGGUCUUCGGAUUGUAAACUUCUUUUAUGAGGGACGAAGGACGUGACGGUACCUCAUGAAUAAGCCACGGCUAACUACGUGCCAGCCGCCGC